rnacentral:rRNA from 1 species
GAAUCUUGCCCAAUGGGCGAAAGCCUGAGGCAGCCACGCCGCGUGGGGGAAGAAGGUCUUCGGAUUGUAAACCCCUUUCAGCAGUGAAGAAGCGAAAGUGACGGUAACUGCAGAAGAAGCCCCGGCCAACUACGUGCCAGCAGCCGCGGUAAUACGUAGGGGGCGAGCGUUGUCCGGAAUCAUUGGGCGUAAAGCGCACGUAGGCGGUCCGUUAAGUCGGAUGUGAAAUCUCUGGGCUCAACCCAGAAACUGCAUCCGAUACUGGCGGACUUGAGGAAGGUAGAGGAGAGUGGAAUUCCUGGUGUAGCGGUGGAAUGCGCAGAUAUCGGGAGGAACACCAGUGGCGAAGGCGGCUCUCUGGGCCUUUCCUGACGCUGAGGUGCGAAAGCGUGGGUAGCAAACAGG